rnacentral:sRNA from 1 species
AAUGUGCACCACUACCGUCAUCUAUAAAA